GAUGAAGAACGUAGCGAAAUGCGAUAAGUAAUGUGAAUUGCAGAAUUCAGUGAAUCAUCGAAUCUUUGAACGCACCUUGCGCCUUUUGGUAUUCCGAAAGGCAUGCCUGUUUGAGUGUCAUGAAAACCUCAUCCUAAGGGUUUCCUUAGGUUGGACUUGGCCGCUGCCUAAUGGCUCGGCUUAAAUGAAUUAGCGGUGGACGCGUUGCUGUAAGCGUAAUAAGUUUCGCUUUUAGUAAAGUGGUCGCGGCUUCUAAUCCGAACUUCGGUUCACUUUAAUCUUCGACCUCAAAUCAGGUAGGACUACCCGCUGAACUUAAGCAUAUCAAUAAGCGGAGGA
rnacentral:misc_RNA from 1 species